rnacentral:lncRNA from 1 species
CCUGCCUCAGCCUCCCGAGUAGCUGGGACUACAGGUGCGUGCCACCACACCUGGCUAAUUUUUGUAUUUUUAUUAGAGACGGGGUUUUGCCGUGUUGGCCAGGCUGGUCUCGAACUCCUGACCUCAGGUGAUCCACCCGCCUCGGCCUUCCAAAGUGCUGGGAUUACAGGCGUGAGCCACCACGCCCGGCCUAUAGUCAUGAUUUUAUUUAUUUAUUUAUUUUGAGACACAGUCUCCCUCUGUUGCCCAGGCUGGAGUGCAGUGGUGUGACCUCAGCUCAUCGCAGUGCCCCCUGGGUUCAAGCGAUUCUUGUGCCUCAGCCUCCCAAGUAGCUGGGAUUACAGGCAUGCACCACCACACUCAGCUAAUUUUUGUGUUUUUAGUAGAGAUGGGGUUUCGCUAUGUUGGCUAGACUGGUCUUGAACUCCUGUCAUCAAGUGAUCCGCCUGCCUAUAAUUUUUUUUAAGUGAUGGGGUCCUGUUCUCUCACCCAGGCUUGAGUACAGUGGCAUGAAUAUGGCUCACUGCAUCCUUGACCUCCUGGGCUCAAGCGAUCCUCCUGCCUUGGCCCAGGAGUUGCUCGCAUGAGCCACCACGCCCAGUGUAUUCAGAUUUUCUUCGUGUUUCUUUUCUCUUCCGGGAUCCCAUGCAGGACACCACGUCGCAUUUAGUUGUCCACCACGGUUUUUUUGUUUGUUUGUUUUUUUCCGAGACGGAGUCUCGCUCUGUCACCCAGGCUGGAGUGCAGUGGUGUGAUCUCAGCUCACUGCAGCCUCCGCCUACCGGGUUCACGCCAUUCUCCUGCCUCAGCCUCCCGAGUAGCUGGGACUACAGGCGCCUGCCCCCACGCCCGGCUAAUUUUUUGUAUUUUUAGUAGAGACGGGGUUUCACCGCGUUAGCCAGGAUGGUCCCGAUCUCCUGACAUUGUGAUCCACCCGCCUCGGCCUCCCAAAGUGCUGGGAUUACGGGCAUGAGCCACCGCGCCUGGCCCACCACAGUUUUAAUUCUGAAGAUGCAGUAUUAAGAGAGGAGGCUAAAGAAGCACACACUUGCUUAAUUUUUCCUUCGUUAUAUGCUGGGGAUGGCAGCAGCAGCUUGUGGCUGAGUUUCGGUGUUCUGCCUGACGGGUGACAGCUGAGCAGGCACUAGGUCCUUGCAAAACGCAGGAUGCUGGGGAGGGUCUUCACCUUGCAUGGUGUCCUGUCCCACACUGCUCCUCAGGUUGGGAGUGGUGGGGAGUUACUGUUUAAUGUGUACAGAAUUUCUCUUUGGGAUGACAAAAAUGUCUGGAAAUGGAUGGUGGUGAUGGUCGUAGAGCUUUACAGAUUUACUUAAUGCCACUGAAUUAUACACUUCAAAUGAUUAAAAUGGUAAAUUUUAUUUAUCUUUUGCCACAAUUUUUUUUAAAACCUCAGUAAAUAAAAUGCAACUUAAGGCUUCUGCUUUUUGCUUUUCAGUAAAGGAAACUAUUUUUUUUUUUAAGUCUGUCCCUUUUAAGCCUUUUACAUUCCUCAAGUAAGGCUUACCCCCAGAAUGGGGGUCAGGGAUCGGUGCCGAUGGGGCUAGAGCACCACCAUCAUUGCUACUGCUAAUGACAAUGGUGAUAGCAACAACAGCCGUGAUUGACUGCUCACUGUGCUAGCAGCUGUACCACAUGGUCCCAUCUGUUCUUCACACAGCCCCAGGGGCAGGUACGCUCAUGGGAACAUAGCACAGGGUAGUUAACGGACUCAUCCAAGGUCAUGCAGCUGGGAGUGGCAGCACCAGGAUCCCUCCAGAACCAGAGCUCUUUCUCACCACCCACGUCAGUGCCAGCAAAGCCUCCCAAACUCCUCCAAAGCCACCUCGAUAACAGGAGAGAGGUGUCCUUCACCAAGCCCGAGAGGGAGACUGCCAGGUGCCUGUGGAAUAAGCCCUCUGGUCCAGAUGAGGACUAGCAAGAGGAAGGGCUGUUUGCCUUCUUUAAAAAGAUUACAAUAAUGACCGGUGUUUAUUAAACACAUACUAUGUUCUACAAUAGCGUUCUCCAGGCUGACGUCACCUAUAGAUCUCUAGCCCCACAGAUGCUCCACUGAAAAAUAGUUUCAUAGCUGGGCACAGUUGUGUGCACCUGCAGUCCCAGUUACUUGGGAGGCUGAGGUGGGAGG